AAAAAGAUCAGCUAAAUUUAAGCUUUUAGGUUCAUACCCUGACCAUGAAUAUAAAUUCUCUUUUUA
rnacentral:tRNA from 1 species